AGGUUGCAGCUCCUUUGUCUCGUCUCAAUAAGCCUCGCUUUGGUGCUUCUCGUCGGUCAUUUUGCGAGUGUAAUUGCUGCAAAUUUAUAAACGGAUGUAGUGAUGAAAAUAAGCGGCUUUUCGUGUGCAUCGAUUCGUGUCAUUUUGAUCGAUGAUAUUUUUUUCAUAAUAUUUUCAAACUCGGAGUCUCGAUUAUUCAAAUAUUAUCAUUUUUUCGAAAAUUUAUCUCUACUUUUGCUUUCGUUUCUUUCCUGUCGCAUUAUAAAAAGCACGACGAAAGUUUAUCGUGCCUUUCGACCUCGAUAUUUCUACUUACUGGUAAAGUAUCGUCGGGACGAUGACCAGCAUCACGGAGAUGGUCGUGGCUGCGAGAACUCCUGAGGCGAUUCCGGGGAGAAAAAAGCUCAUAUCUGGGAGUUCGACAUCUCCGAGGUUUGUGUUGUCUGAAGAUUGGAUCGUUUGGAGGAAGAGCAAAAAAAGGAUACCACGAGAGGAUGGGUCUGUCGCCCCGAACGUUCGAUUUUAUCAAGCGUCCGCGCGAGUAAAACGCGGAUAAAGCGAGAGGGAUCGUCGGAGACGGAACAUUUCCCGGAACAUUCCUUGGUCCACGCGAUUUCAAUUCGUCUUGUAACUGGUCAUGAAAAUGGUAACGAUAAAAAAUUGAAGAACGGUAGAAUCGAUUAUCGCGAUG